CUUUUUUUUUUUUUUUUUUUUUUAAGACAGAGUUUCGCUCUUGUUGCCCAGGCUGGAGUGCAAUGGCACCUUCUCAGCUCACCAUGACCUCUGCCUCCCAGGUUCAAGAGAUUCUCCUGCCUCAGCUUCCCAAGUAGCUGAGAUUACAGGGUUGCGCCACCACGCCUGGCUAAUUUUGUAUUUUUAGUAGAGACAGGGUUUCUCCAUGUUGGUCAGGCUGGUCUCAAACUCCCGACCUCAGGUGACCUGCCCACCCCGGCCUCCCAAAGUAUUGGGAUUACAGGCAUGAGCCACUGUGCCUGGCCAAUAGUAAUUUUAAACAACAGCCAAGGAAGCUAGAGCUACAAACUCUUUCGUUCCCUAUAGAAACUAAAGGUAACAUCUUCACAUAUGUCUUUGAGUUGUUUUUUAUAAACCUGGACCCCCAGCAAAUGGAAAAUGCCAUCUGCCGGCCUGUAGACCUCAGAUAAGGGGGAACAAGGACUGAACUCUGCCUGCCACUUAUUCUAAAUUUCUUCCUGAGGUGCCCAGAGGAAGUCAUGCCCACAGGCCAGAGCUCAACAUUCCUUUUGACUGACCCCAAGUUUUUAAACAAAGCUUAAUCAAUCACAAGUCAGGAAAUCUUUGAAUUCACCUAUGACCUUUAGUCCUCCCAACCCCGUUUCAGGAUGUCCUGCCUUUUUUAGGCCAAGCCAAUGUAUAGCUUCAUUUUGUUGAUUGAUGACUUUGCCUGUAACCUCUGCCUUCCUGUCUAUAUUAGGCAGUUCUUGCAUUGCUAUAAAGUAAUACCUGUGACUGGUAAUUUAUAAAGAAAAGAGGUUUAAUUGGUUCACAGUUCUGCAGGCUGUGCAGGAAGCAUGAUGCUGGCAUCUGCUUGGCUUCUCAGGUGGCCUCAGGAAGCUUACAGUCAUGGUGGAAUGUGAAAGGGGGGCAGGUACCUCACAUGGCAAAAGCAGGAGAGAGAGAGAGAGAGAGAUUGAGAGAGAGGGAUUGGUGGGGGUAGGUGCCACACACCAUUAAAGAACCAGAUCUCAUGUGAACUCAGGGCGAGAGCUCACUCAGCACCAAGGGGAUGGCCCAAGCCAUUCAUGAGAAAUCUACCCCUACAAUCCAGUCACCUCCCACCAGGCCCCACCUCCAAUACCUGGGAUUAUAAUUCAACAUGAGAUUUGGGCAGGGAGAAAUAUACAAACUAUAUCACUGCCUUAGAAAAACCCUUAUCUGUCAGCCAGUGGGGAGUUCUGGUGUUAAGCAUGAGCUGCCCAAUUCUCCUUGCUUGGCGCUUUGCAAUAAAUGCCUCACUUUUUCUUGCCGUAAAUCCUGAUAUCAGUGUUUGGCUUUGCUGUGCCAGGUAGCUGGGCCCAAGUUCUGUUUGGCAAUAUUCUCAUCUGGUUCCUUCCUCUCGUGCUCAACACCUCGCAGUGGCUUCCAUUCCACGUGGAGUAAAAGCCAAAGCUCCCCUAUGCACCUCUCUGACCUACCCCCAAUCAUGCCCUCUCCUCAGCCCCUCCUCUCCAGCCACCCUACCCUCCUGCUGGUUCCUGAACACCUUUGGCAGGCUCCCACCUCAGGGUUCAGGACCUACUCUUAUUUCCCUGAGCUUUCCUCCGCACACACCCACCCCUACAUUUCUCUAUUUACCCGAGUCCCCAUCACCAUCUAGGAGACUGUAUGUUUUACUUGCAGAUUACAUUUAGUGCUUAAUCCAUGGCUCUCCCUGCUAGUGAUGUCGCUGUGGUCUUUUAUUUGCUGAUGUAUCUCCAGUGUUUAGAUCAGUGCCUGGUACAAAGUAGAUGCUCAAUAAAUAUUUGCUGAGUGAAUGAGUGACUUUUGUGACUUCAUCAAUCAUCUUUGAAUUAAUCUGGGACCUGGAAUCUUAUGAGCUCAAGAACAUGGCUGGGAGAGGCCUGGGAUCAUGAGCAUUCUUUAGGCACCACCUCCACUACUGCGGGUGGAGCCCAGGUACUCGGCCUAUGUUUUGGCACUGUUGUUUAAGUAAGCUCACAGCAAGCUAAUUGUAGGGACAUUCCCUGUCAACUGCUGGCCUGGCCACAGGACUCCUCAUGGCUGUUCUCAAGGUAGAGGGCUUAGGUUCCAGCCUUUUUUAGGUUCCCAUGCAGCUGUGUCCAUCUGGGGUCUGGUCACCUCUGGGAGGCUCCUGUCAGAGACCUACAAUAUGGAGAAGGGAGGAGCCCUGUUUCCUGGAGGAGGAAGGGCCCCCAGGCCUGUCCCUCUCAGCCUGGCUGCUGUGAGAAUCCCCCAGAGACUUAAAAAAAUAACCUGUCUGGGCCCCACCGUAGGCCAAAUGAAAUUGGAAUCUCUGGGGAUAGAGCCUGGUAAUAGGUAUGUAUUUCAACUUUCUAGAUUAUUUUAAAUGCAGCCAGGAUUCACAUCAAGUGUCCUAGGACAAAGGCCUCCUGGGAGAAAACACAUGUCCUUCUUCUCCUCCCAAAGGCAGCCAGAAAGGAUAAAGAAAUGAGCAAACAAGGCACUAAUUUCUUCAUUUCUCAAUGUCUAAGCCUGUUGUCGAAAAGAUGCAGAAGAUACCAUUUUGCUUAUUUCCUUAAUUAAAUCCUUAGGUUAAAAUUUUAGAUUUGAAGUUACAGGAUAUUUUGAGACUUAAAAAAAAAGUCACAAUUUCACUAGAAGUGAAAAAGGUUGUGAUUAUUUGGGCCCUUUCAAUUCUGGAAAUUUUCAGUUUAAAAAUCUUUCUCCAUUUGGUAGAUGAACAUGUAGUUUUUCAUGUCUGCGAUACAUAUUUCUUGAGUGUUUCCUAUAUGCCAUUACUCCAUUGGACAGUG
rnacentral:lncRNA from 1 species